GCACAUAUACAUUGAAUGGUGCAUAUAUAUGUAUAAUUGUAUAUAUGUGUAUAUAUUUUUUAAAUUCUAAUGUAGUAUAUACUAUAUAUAUAGUGUGUGUAUAUUGUUUAACGUAUUUAAAAUGUAUAUAGGUGGGUAUAUAUAGUGUAUAUUGAAAUUUUUUUUUUUCAUUUUUGAUCGGGUUUGACCGGGUUUAGGUGAGUUUGAUCGGGUUGGGUUAAGUGGGUCAGGUUAGGAUUGUUUUUAAAAAAAUUACUGUUGAGCCCGGCCCGGCUCACCUUACCCAAUCCAGACCCCGCCCACAAUCCGACUUACUUUAACAGGCCGGUUCCAGGUUGUCCCGGGCCGGCCCACCUGACAACCUUAUUACCUUCAUCAUAUCCUCUCUCUCUUCCUCCACAGUGUCCGUUAUCGGACUUCUAAUUACAUAAUUAUGUGAAUAAAAGUAAAUAUUAUGGAAUAAAUACUGCCAAUAAAUUAAUAAGACAGAGAUGUUCAAAUAAUUUAAUCCAGAAAGUACCACCUAACUAUGUCCAUUGAGGUCAUUAUAAAAACAUCAGGAUUGGCGUAUUUGACGUGCCCCUUGGGUUUAUAACCAAACAGAAAAGGAGGAGUCGUGUUUUGGUGUUGGAUCUGUUAUAAUCUAUUAUCUUAUCAUAUUGCCUCACACAAUGACUACCAAACAAAGCAUGUAGGAAACCCAUUACUUCAGGUCUCAUUGUUCUUCUGUUGGAGCUUCAAAGUAUCCCACGUUUUUUAUAUUUAAGGUGGGCCGCCAAUUCCAAAGCUUAGAAUUUGUAAGACGAUUAGACGAACCAUCAACUAUGUUGCUAUAUUCAUCAUAUCAAUAUACUAAUAAAAUGUAACAUCUAACAAUAGUAAUUAAUGAUUGAGUAGCAUGACGUAUAUAUAAUUAUUUUUGACUAUCAAUAGAAGAAUAAUGUAGUAUUUUUAUUUGAUGUAUGACUUAAAUGUCAAAUUUCAAUAUAUGAUCACUUAAUUAUGUAUGCAUAUCAAAUUAAAAUCGGCCAUUAAAUAAUCUAAUUAAGAAAUUCUUUUCUUCUUUCAUUCAUUUGCUCUAGACAAAGGUUUAGCUAAUUGUUUACAAUUAAUGAUAAUAUUGAGCUUAAACUCAUUAUCAACAGUUGAUAGACUUCAUUUUUUAUCAAUCACUAAAUCUACAUGUAUUUAAAUUCACCAAUAUUCUUUCAACCUUUUCAUGGGGCCCACGAGUGUCUGAUAUCAAAUUAAAGUACAACAAAUUAAAUAACUAGUCAAUUACUAUCAAUCUAAGGUGGAAGGAAACUCUUACAUCAUAUUCUAAUUCAAGAUAAUAUAUAAUAACGCUAUUAAUGGUAAUUCUAACUAUUAAAAAUUAUCCAAUGAAUUGGCUCGAUAAAAUCAUAUAUCUAUAUGCAUCAUCUAUAUAUGUGAUUUAGUUAAUGAAAUCAGCUAAUCCAUAUCUCACAAAGUUCACCAUAAAUAUGUAUAUAUGAUCUACAAGAAAGGUGUCUCUCUCAUUAACAUCAUGAUUUCUCCAUCAUCAUGUCAAUAUUAUCUGAAAACUUAAUAAAAAAUCUUAUCAUAUUUUAAUCAAACUAUUGAUAAUAAUCAUAAUAAAAAAAUAUUAAAUGUCAUACUUAUAACAAAUAACAUUACAUAAAUAUGUUCAAAUCACCGUAUAUAAAAUAGAAUCUAGCUAGGACGUAUCAACUAUAUCCCGAACCGCAACUUACGUAUCCCGCAUAUAUAAUUAGUGGCAGCAUUGGCGAUUUCUCAUUCCCUAUUUUUAUUUAACAAAUUUAAAUUUUUAUUGGUGUCGAUAUCAUUUUCAAACAUUAAAUCUUUAUUUUCAACUACAGUUAAACGAACAAAUUUCAAACUUUGUACAGUUUGAUUCUUGACAAUCUCUUUUAAAAGCCUAGUAUAGUGGUAGGUCAUAAUUCCACCGGUUAAUGCCUAUAGACGCAGCUAAAUAGCCUACUUCGACGUGUUAUUUUCUUUCUUUUUAGUACACUAACAUGUUUGAUUUCCGUUCUGUAAAAAUGUAAAUGUUAAUAAUCCGAUUAGUCUACAUCUUCUAGUGUUUUGCUGCUCAUUCUCAUAAUAUUCCUGUACUUUAAUUAGUUCUUUCCAAUAAAUCCAUAUGAAUGUUAUAUAUAUAUAUAUAUAUAUAUAUAUAUACACAAUAAAAUGAAGCUGUUCGCAAACAGGAUGUGCAUGCGAAAUUUUUAUUCACUUUAUUAGUGAAAUAAAUUAAUCAGUGAAAUAACCAUUAUCAUACCAACAGUAUGGAUCACCAUCACUAGUCAUGUAUAGACCAUUGUUCCUGAACAAGAUGAUCUAUAAUUUUUUAAAGAUUUUUUCUUGUAAAUCUUUAUUUAAUUUUAUUACUUUUUAAAUAGUAAUUAAUGUUUUUUCAUUUAAGAAAAUAGUAUAAUAACUCAUUAGGCAAUAUAAAGUAUGUAUUUCUUUAACUUAGCCUUAGAUUCUUUUAACAGAUAAACCUGUGUAUUUUUUAAAGCUUGAUCUCUAUCUUGUGCUCUAAGUAGUAGCUUCUCUACUUCGUUAAUUCUCGAUUUCACAAGAUUAUUUGAAGUAUUCUUUCUUAAAAAAUAGAUUUCUCUACCAUAGUUUCUCAAAUUUAUUAAAACUUCAUUAAUUCUUCUUAUAAUUAUUAUGGUUUCCCAAAAUUUUCUUCUAAGUUUCUGUAAUUGUGGUUGUAUCACUCUCAUGAUAAUAAAUAUAAACAAUUCAUAAUUUUAUAUUCCCUAUAGGUACUUAGUAAUAUAUAAUAUGUAUGAAGGUAUAGAGCAGAUAUGAAAACAGACUUUUCUUACGCUAAUAUGUUAUGAAAUGGUAGAGUUUAUGCAUAUACCUUUUGACCUUCUUUUAUGUUAGUUGUAUCAACACCACAGUGCUUCUCCUUCCGGCUAUGAAGAACUUUUUAAUCUAUUGUGACUCGCGGUCUCAGGCUACUGCUCCGUCUUUCCUCCGUUAAGGCUGAAGAUCGCAACCUUCAUUUUUUACCAGCAUAAAAGAUUUGCAAAGAAUAUAUGAAACAAACUUUUUAUUUCUUGAACAUAUUACAACAUAGAAAAAAUCUUUAAUCAGAUCUUCCUUAUACUUACAUACACACUAUUUAUUAUCUUUUCCUGAUGGGAGAGGUGUCUCUUACCCACUCAUGUAGAAGAUACCCAGCAUUUUUUUAAGAAAGAGAAUAUUAAG
rnacentral:lncRNA from 1 species